UUCUCAUUUUUUCAUUUCUAAUAAUUUGCUUUGUUAUUUUCUUUAUUUAGCUGCACUGACUCUCUACUGGUUAUUUCCUAGGUGUAGCUACAGAAAGAUAGAAAAUUGAUCACAGGAAGAGAACACACUCUGGAUUUUCUUCUGACGUGCAGACUGCACUGAUUGAAGUAUUGAAUCCUUUUGCAACACCACCUUCCUGUAAAUAUCCUGUUUCCAGAAAUUGA
rnacentral:lncRNA from 1 species